rnacentral:rRNA from 1 species
UACGGGGGGGGCAAGCGUUGUUCGGAAUUACUGGGCGUAAAGGGCUUGUAGGUGGCCAACUAAGUCAGACGUGAAAUCCCUCGGCUUAACCGGGGAACUGCGUCUGAUACUGGAUGGCUUGAGUGUGGGAGAGGGAUGCGGAAUUCCAGGUGUAGCGGUGAAAUGCGUAGAUAUCUGGAGGAACACCGGUGGCGAAGGCGGCAUCCUGGACCAUAACUGACACUGAGAGACGAAAUCCAGGUGAGCAAACGGG